UCUCUCUCUCUCGGUCUCUCGAACGGCAACAGGAAAAUUCCUCGUCUCUGACAUCGGCGACGGUAUCGAGUCGUUGCAUCGCGCAUUGAUCAUUCCUCGCGCAUCGCGAUUAGGAAUGUACGACGAAUUUACACCGCAGCGAAUGUAACGACAUAUAUAUAUAUAUAUAUAUAUUAUACAUAUGUGUCUCGCAGAACCGUUUUUUACGUAACGGCGAGCUAGAACCGAAAUUUCCGUUCGCGCCGAACCUUCGGGCGUUGCGGGAUCGAUGGAGCUCAAUUCGAUCUCGAUCGCUUCUCCACCGAACAAAGAUUCCACCGGGGACUCGAUUAAGGGAUCAUUUCACUUUAACAGCCCAAAAACUAUGCUUAUCUUAAAGAAUUUUUAUUCAAAGAUAACAAAAUGCCAGGUUGAAAGAAGUUUUGAGAAGUACUUUUUACAACUUUUUUCAAACUGGCGCCAUUUUGUUAUUUUUAAAUAAAAAUUCUUAACCGAGGUUUGGGACAUAGUGACACUCAUAUAGAUUAGGAAUUUCUUUGACUUUUUGUUUGAGCUAAGCCUGAAUAAUAAAAGUCUUCAACGCAACGGACUUGCAUCUUUUUUGACACGAAAUUCGAACGGUGUAGAAAACGCUUAAGUAAAAAAUUGUUUCGAAUGUGACAAAAAUUUUCCUGUGUUAUCUAAGAGUGCCCUAAUCAAUCUCAGAAAGAUUUAUUUCAUUGUAUGGUGUAUUCACUGUGAAAAAAAAUCGUUAGAGAUAAGCUUUUGGGCCGUUAAAGUGGAAUGACCGGAAUCAUGCAUACGAUUUGUACUCGAGGCGUUCAGUUUUGAAGCUUUCCAAGUUGAAAUUCAAAUUUUUAAUUUAAAUCGAACCGAACCCCAAUUCGACUAAUAAUUCGUAUUCAAAUAGCUCGCACACCUGUGGACUCCGCGACUUCCUGGCGGCGAGGCGACGCGAAAAAGAAACCUUUUCGUGGGAAAUGAAGUAUCGCCUACCUCCGGCAGGCCAGCGCUCCAAGAGCUGAUUUUUCAAGAAAUAUGACUUUGGAGCACGUUGAUGACGUCUGACCGCAACUCAUGAGCUGAUGAUGUACUUUGGAGCAUUGAGAAUACGACGCGGAGCAUUCGAAAGCGGAAAGCACCAGCGAAUUCGAGCCUCCCAUGACUUGUACGACGCUGUCCAGGGAGCGAUGACAGUCCACGGUGGGAACUGUGCCAGAAACUUCUUAAAU